AGGACGAACGCUGGCGGCGUGCUUAACACAUGCAAGUCGAGCGGAAAGGCCCUUCGGGGUACUCGAGCGGCGAACGGGUGAGUAACACGUGAGUAAUCUGCCCCUAGCUCUGGGAUAGCUCCGGGAAAACCGGGAUUAAUACCAGAUACGACCACUUUAGACAUCUGUUGUGGUGGAAAGAAUUUUGGCUAGGGAUGAGCUCGCGGCCUAUCAGCUUGCUGGUGAGGUAAUGGCCUCCCAAGGCGACGAUCGGUAGCUGGUCUGAGAGGACGAUCAGCCACACUGGGAUUGAGAACGGCCCAGACUCCUACGGGGGCAGCAGUGAGGAAUUUUCCGCAAUGGACGAAAGUCUGACGGAGCAACGCCGCGUGCAGGAGGAAGGUUUUCGGAUCGUAAACUGCUUUUCUCGGGGACGAGCAAGGACGGUACCGAGGAAGAAGCCCCGGCUAACUACGUGCCAGCAGCCGC
rnacentral:rRNA from 1 species